GCCGCUCCUCCCAGCCGAGUCCCGGAGCGCGAGCGGGCGUGGGGCCUCCUCGGCUGAGCCCUGAGCCCCUGGCCCUGCUGCUGGACUGUGGCGGGCGCUCGCCCCGGAGGCCCGCGGGCCCGCCUCGGGGAGCAUGGACUCGCAGGGGCUGAAGACUUUGAUUAAUUACUAUUGUCAAGAGAGGUAUUUCCAUCAUGUGUUGCUUGUUGCCAGUGAAGGCAUGAAGAGGUAUGGUAAUGACCCAGUCUUCAGGUUUUAUCAUGCCUAUGGUACAUUGAUGGAAGGUAAAACUCAAGACGCUCUUCGAGAAUUUGAGGCUAUUAAAAAUAAACAAGAUGUAUCACUUUGUUCUCUAAUUGCACUGAUAUACGCCCAUAAAAUGAGUCCUAAUCCAGAUAGAGAAGCUAUUCUGGAGUCAGAUGCCAAAGUGAAGGAGCAACGUAAAGGAGCUGGACCAAAAGCUUUGUACCACGCAGGCUUAUUUUUAUGGCAUGUUGGUCACCAUGAUAAGGCGAGAGAAUAUAUUGACAGAAUGAUCAAAAUGUCAAAUGGUAGUAAAGAGGGACAGGUUUUGAGAGCAUGGCUUGAUAUUACAAGAGGAAAAGAACCCUAUACUAAAAAAGCACUAAGGUAUUUUGAAGAAGGAUUACAAGAUGGAAAUGACAUUUUUGCUCUACUGGGUAAGGCACAGUGCCUUGAGAUGCGCCAGAAUUAUUCAGGUGCUCUGGAGACUGUGAACCAGAUAAUCAUGAGCUUUCCAAGUUUCCUUCCUGCUUUUGUAAAGAAAAUGAAACUUCAACUAGCCUUACAGGAUUGGGAUCAGACGGUUGAGACAGCACAGAGGUUAAUGCUUCAAGAUAAUCAAAAUGUGGAAGGACUCAGAAUGCUGGCUCUUUACUAUUUGUGUAGGGAGGGGGAUAUAGAUAAGGCUGCCACCAAGCUGGAAAGCUUAGGAAGUGCACUGGAGGCCAUGGAACCACAGAAUGCUCAGCUUUUCUAUAAGAUCACAAUAGCCUUCAGCAGAACUUGUGGACGUAGUCAACUGAUUCUUCAGAAACUUCACACGUUCCUAGAAAGAGCUUUUAGUUUGACCCCUCAGGAAUCAGAAUUUGCUACAGAACUUGGAUACCAGUUGAUUUUACAAGGAAAAGUUCAAGAGGCAUUGAAGUGGUAUGAGACUGCCAUGACGCUUAAUGAAACCAGUGUCCCUGCACUGAUUGGAUUUAUCCGAUGUCAGUUAAUAGAAGGGCAAUUACAGGAUGCAGAUCAGCAGCUGGAGUUCCUUAGUGAAAUUCAGCAGUCAAUUGGGAAAUCUGCGGAGUUAACCUAUUUACAUGCAAUUCUUGCUAUGAAGAAAAAUAAACGGCAAGAAGAAGUUAUUAAUUUGUUAAAUGAUGUCCUGGACACUCAUUUUUCACACUUAGAAGAUUCACCUCUUGGGAUACAGUAUUUUGAGAAGUUAAAUCCUGAUUUCUUGCUAGAAAUUAUUACAGAAUAUCUGAAUUUCUGUCCAAUGCAGCCUGCAAGUCCUGGGCAACCUCUUUCUCCACUUCUCAGACGUUGUACCUCAAUCCUGGAGACCAUAGUAAGAACUGUACCAGGUCUUCUGCAAGCUGUCUUCCUAAUAGCAAAAGUGAAAUAUUUGUCAGGUGACACUGAAGCAGCCUAUAAUAACCUGCAGCACUGCCUGGAGCACAGUCCUUCUUACGCAGAUGCGCACCUCCUGAUGGCUCAGGUUUAUUUGUCUCAGGAAAAAUUCAAAUUGUGUUCUCAGUCUCUUGAACUUUGUCUCAGCUAUAAUUUUAAGGUGAGAGAAUAUCCUUUGUAUCAUUUGAUAAAAGCUCAGUCACAAAAGAAAAUGGGAGAAAUAGCAGAAGCAAUUAAAACUCUGCAUAUGGCAAUGAGUUUACCAGGAAUGAGGAGAAUUGGAGCUUCCUCAAAAUCAAAGUACAGAAAAACUGAAGCUGAUGCAGGCCAUCGUUUAUCCAUCUUUCUCGAGUUGGUGGAGGUUCACCGCUUAAAUGGAGAACAGCAUGAAGCAGCAAAAGUUUUACAAGAUGCCAUCCAUGAAUUUUCUGGGACAUCAGAAGAAUUGCGUGUUACUAUUGCUAAUGCAGACCUAGCUCUGGCCCAGGGAGACGUUGAGCGGGCUUUAAGCAUGCUUCGGAAUGUUACUGCUGAACAGCCGUAUUUCAUAGAGGCUAAAGAAAAAAUGGCAGAUAUAUAUCUGAAGCACAGAAAAGAGAAAAUGUUAUAUAUCACUUGUUAUAGAGAAAUUGCUGAAAGAAUGCCCAGCCCUCGUUCUUUUCUUCUCCUUGGCGAUGCAUACAUGAAUAUUCAAGAGCCUGAAGAAGCCAUAGUAGCGUACGAGCAAGCUUUAAAUCAGAACCCAAAAGAUGGAACUCUGGCAAGCAAAAUUGGGAAAGCACUUGUGAAAACUCACAACUAUUCAAAGGCAAUCACUUAUUAUGAAGCUGCUCUGAAAAGUGGACAACAAAAUUAUCUUUGCUAUGACCUGGCCGAGCUUUUAUUAAAAUUGAAGUGGUAUGACAAAGCAGAAAAAGUUCUUCAGCACGCUCUAGCUCAUGAACCUGUAAAUGAACUGUCAGCUCUCAUGGAAGAUGGACGUUCUCAAGUUCUGUUAGCAAAAGUUUACAGUAAAGUGGACAGAACUAGCGAUGCGGUCACUUCCUUACAACAGGCUCGAGAAUUACAAGCUCGGGUACUAAAACGUGUUCAGAUGGAACAGCCAGACGCAGUUCCCGCUCAGAAACAUUUAGCAGCUGAAAUUUGUGCAGAGAUUGCAAAACAUUCUGUUGCUCAGCGAGACUAUGAAAAAGCAAUUAAGUUUUAUAGAGAGGCUCUUGUUCAUUCUGAAACAGAUAAUAAGAUCAUGUUGGAGCUGGCAAGAUUGUACCUGGCACAGGAUGACCCUGACGCCUGCCUGCGGCAUUGUGCUCUGCUUCUCCAGAGUGACCAGGACAACGAAGCUGCCACCAUGAUGAUGGCAGAUCUCAUGUUCAGAAAACAGGACUAUGAACAAGCAGUGUUUCAUUUACAACAACUUUUAGAACGCAAACCAGAUAAUUAUAUGACAUUAUCUCGUUUAAUUGAUCUCCUAAGACGAUGUGGCAAACUUGAGGAUGUUCCAAGAUUUUUCCUAAUGGCUGAGAAACGAAACUCCAGAGCAAAAUUGGAGCCAGGAUUUCAGUACUGUAAAGGACUAUAUCUUUGGUACACUGGAGAACCAAAUGAUGCUCUUCGACAUUUUAAUAAAGCUCGGAAAGAUAGUGACUGGGGCCAAAAUGCCCUUUAUAAUAUGAUAGAAAUCUGUUUGAAUCCAGAUAAUGAAACGAUUGGAGGUGAAGUAUUUGAAAAUCUGGAUGGAGACUUGGGCAAUUCAACUGAGAAGCAAGAGUCUGUGCAAUUAGCAGUGAGAACAGCAGAAAAACUCCUUAAAGAACUAAAACCUCAGACUGUUGAGGGUCACGUACAACUUCGCAUAAUGGAAAACUAUUGCCUGAUGGCCACCAAACAGAAAUCGAAUGUUGAGCAAGCGUUGAAUACCUUCACCGAAGUAGCAACGUCUGAGAAGGAUCAUAUACCAGCACUUUUGGGAAUGGCAACAGCUUAUAUGAUCUUGAAACAGACGCCAAGAGCCAGAAACCAGCUGAAGCGGAUUGCAAAAAUGAACUGGAAUGCUGUUGAUGCUGAGGACUUUGAGAAGAGUUGGCUGCUACUUGCUGAUAUUUAUAUUCAAUCCGCAAAAUACGAUAUGGCAGAAGAACUGUUAAAACGGUGUCUGCGUCAUAAUAGGUCUUGUUGCAAAGCUUAUGAAUAUAUGGGAUACAUUAUGGAGAAAGAGCAAGCAUAUACAGAUGCUGCCUUCAACUAUGAGAUGGCAUGGAAACAUGGCAAUCAGACAAAUCCAGCAGUAGGAUACAAACUGGCAUUUAAUUACUUAAAAGCGAAAAGAUAUGUGGAUGCAAUUGAUGUAUGUCACCAGAUAGCUGUGUCAGCAUCAUCCCAGUAAACACUCGGCCUCAGUGAUUGCUGUUGAUUACUGAGUCUCUCUGGAAGCAGGUUCUUGAAGCACAUCCAACUUAUCCAAAAAUCAGAAAGGAUAUACUUGAUAAGGCCCGUACAUCUUUAAGACCUUGAAAAUUAUUUUAAUUUAGUUUGUUGGUUAAGUGGGAAAUGAAAGGAAUCUGAGUUUUUCCAGUUCCACAUAGGUUUGAGCUAAUGCUUUUUCUCCAGCAGAGGCUGCUGUUGUAUAUAAAGAGAAACGCUGUGUCAAAUGGAUGAUUUCUCAUGGAGAAUGUGAAUGAGAGCUGAUUUAUUUGAUGGACUCUCUUGAUUAGCUGCAGAUUUGGUGUCUCUGUGGUCAAGAUGAUAACCAACCCCUUUUUAUAAAGAAUAUUUUGUUCAAAUCUAGGUAAUUAAGUAUCUUAUAUCUUUUCUAAGGAGUAUUAGCUGUUUAUUUCAGGAAAUGUAUUUAAAAUGCUAUUGUUCUCUGUUAAAAUUUUUUGUAAUGUUCUCUGUUACUUCAAAAGUUUGAGUAAAUUCCUUGUAAAUAAUUUAUGAAAACGAAAAUAUAUUUUUUAAUAAAGAUUUUGUAAAUUUAUGGUUUGUAUUCCUCUUGGAACUCAAAAGACAUGGUAGGUUUUGCAAAAUCAGGGUAAGCUCCCCAUGCAGUCUGCAAUGUUAAUGAGUAGUAGUGCAGAAAAUGUGACUUUCCCAGAAAAAUCUUUUUCGAAAAGUGUAAAGAGUGUGUUUCCCUUCCCUUCGUUGAGCUCAUUCUUCCUGCUCUCAAUGCCUGUGUGAUCUUGAGAAAUAAUUAGUACCUGAAAUCAGUUUAAAUAGGUAAACCCUUAUAGCAAUAUUUAACCUUAGCUCAAAGACUAGGUCUUGUGGUGUAACUUCAGAUACUGUAAGCUGUGGUGGAGAAGAGUGACGUGAUACUUUUGGUCCACAAGGACUCAGAAAGCACACCAUGUGACAGCAACUGCUUGCCCUACCAUGCCUACCGCCACCCUGGCGGAGCCGUUCUCACUCUUUUACACUCAAUUUAACCUCAUCUUAAUAAACUCAGUUCUUAGUUUCA